rnacentral:rRNA from 1 species
UGGGGAAUAUUGCACAAUGGGCGCAAGCCUGAUGCAGCCAUGCCGCGUGUGUGAAGAAGGCCUUCGGGUUGUAAAGCACUUUCAGCGAGGAGGAAGGGUAGUGUGUUAAUAGCACAUUGCAUUGACGUUACUCGCAGAAGAAGCACCGGCUAACUCCGUGCCAGCAGCCGCGGUAAUACGGUGGGUGCAAGCGUUAAUCGGAAUUACUGGGCGUAAAGCGCACGCAGGCGGUUUGUUAAGUCAGAUGUGAAAUCCCCGCGCUUAACGUGGGAACUGCAUUUGAAACUGGCAAGCUAGAGUCUUGUAGAGGGGGGUAGAAUUCCAGGUGUAGCGGUGAAAUGCGUAGAGAUCUGGAGGAAUACCGGUGGCGAAGGCGGCCCCCUGGACAAAGACUGAC